GAUCUUCUCUCUCAAAUAGCUGUCUGGAAGAGGUGGGGUUUAAAGCACUGAUACCUGAUGUGAUCUUCUUAAACUUCAAGUCUGUUAGAGAGAGAAUAAGAAACACACACAAUGAUGCUCCAUUCUGUCAUUCUAAUUUCUGCCUUUGCAUAUGCAACGCAUGGAAAUGAAAUCAAACCAACCAAAACACUGGAGUUUGCUGAUGAGGGUUCAAGUGUUAAAUUAUCCUGCAGUUAUUCAUCUGCAUUCACACUCUACUGGUACCGUCAGUAUCCCGGAUCAACUCCUCAGUUCAUUGUGCUCAUCUCAGACAGAUCAGAACAAGCUCAGGAUUCUAUUGUAGAUUCCAGAUUCACUGCCAAAGUCACCAAAGACAAAGAAAGCCAUGUGGAUCUUAUUAUCUCCUAA